AUACAGAGGGUGCAAGCGUUAAUCGGAUUUACUGGGCGUAAAGCGCGCGUAGGUGGCUAAUUAAGUCAAAUGUGAAAUCCCCGAGCUUAACUUGGGAAUUGCAUUCGAUACUGGUUAGCUAGAGUAUGGGAGAGGAUGGUAGAAUUCCAGGUGUAGCGGUGAAAUGCGUAGAGAUCUGGAGGAAUACCGAUGGCGAAGGCAGCCAACUGGCCUAAUACUGACACUGAGGUGCGAAAGCAUGGGGAGCAAACAGGAUUAGAUACCCUGGUAGUCCAUGCCGUAAACGAUGUCUACUAGCCGUUGGGGCCCUUGAGGCUUUAGUGGCGCAGCUAACGCGAUAAGUAGACCGCCUGGGGAGUACGGUCGCAAGACUAAAACUCAAAGGAAUUGACGGGG
rnacentral:rRNA from 1 species